GUGUAAAGCAGCAGAGAAAUUCACAGCUCACUAGAUGAUGUAAACUCCAAUGCAUUUUGAAUUAAAAUGCUACUUUCUGCAUUUAUUAUUGAGAUUCAAAAUACUUCACAUUGUAGUGCUCGUGUAUUAUAAAUGCAGUGGGAACAUCCCUAUACAGAGAUGCAACGUUUAUUUUAUGCAAUCCGGGUAGCAAAAAUGAAAGAAUUUAGAAAAUAGCAUAUAGAAGGGCUGCCCCCAUCAGGCUACUUCAUAAACCACUACAAACAGGCAGCACCAUCACUUAAGACAAUAGUGUGGUUAUUCCGAAGUACACACUUCAGUGCUCCACUGGCAAAAACAGUACCAUUAGACUACAGAGUAUUCUAUAUGUUACUACUAAGAUCAUAAAUACAAAUCUCCCCAAAGUUCUCCACUUCCAACACCGUGUUUCUCAAAAGUGUUUGCAUUGUUGAGGCAUAUCAUAUUGCAUAGUUCUACAGACAUGAGAUACUACUGCUUGCAUUGCUGUUGCAAAUGGCCACAUUACUUAGUGUAGAUCCCACCAAAAUAGGAAGACUUCAUGCAGAUUAUCAGAAGUCUUAGCUUGAAUACAACAGUUCUCUUACACCACGUUUCACUUAUAAGUACUAUGAAUAACUUGGGAACUUGCAAAGGCUCUUUUGUAUCAUCAUCAAUUUUAUAGCUGAGCUGUAACUGUUAACUGUAGCACGUCCUGGAAACACUGGAAUAAAGUUUUGCACAGCACUUCUGCACUGGUCUCUGGGCACGACUUCCAGGAAGAACAUAAAACAACGAUCCUGUCAUCUCUGAUUGCAUAAAAAAAGCCAUAGCCGUGAUGCACCAUAGGGACUGCACAUCCACUAAAUCUGGUGUACCCAGUCAGACUAGUUGAAAGAACAAAGUUCCCACCUCCUCCACUGGCUGUGAAGGCAGGGUCCUCAAAGAGUUCUGGCACUGGCAGUCCCUGCUCCUGUGCUAUGAGAAGGAGACCCAGGAGAUGACGGUCAAAUCCUCUUCCAUUCUCACAAUCCUUCCUCAUUCUAUUGUGCUUUGCAAAUGCCGCAUGCAUCAGCUGUAGGCGUUCAUAAUUAGUGGCAGAAUGAUCCAACAUGGAUUUGCACCACUCUACUGCUUCCAUGGUACACGGUCUUAUGGUCUCCGUGCGGCCGUGAUAGAAACGCCUGGUCAUUGCAGUUUCAUAACAGCAGCCCGGGCGCCCAUGACAUUUGUAAUAAGCCAGCUGAAGGGCAAGCUGCACAAACGUAUCUGGAUGAAGUUUCCUCUUCUUAAUCAAGGCUUUGCCAAAGGAUGUGAAGGCGUAACACGCUAACUGCAGGUCAGAUACCUUUUCAUAAUACAUUUCUUUAGUACGUUCAAUUUCAUUUAUAAUUUUUUGGUCUACUGUGAACACAAGCUCCUCUGGGCAUGGAAUAUCCCUCACUUUAUCUGAUCCCUUCCAUUUUCCUUCAUUUUCAAUAAUCUUUUGUUCAGCAGAAGAUAACAUGGUGAUUAAAGCCAUGGCAUCAAAAGGAGAAUGGUCGCAGAAUGCACUAGAGGUUCCAUUGGAGAAGAAUAUGCUGUUGUAGGACUUAUCUCCCCAGCGCACAGUUGGAUCACCCGCUAGGCCCAGCCUCGUUAUCUCUGUGUAGUCCUCAGGAGUUGCAUGGGGACUAGAAUCAUCCAGGCUGACCACAAACAAACUUUGCUGAAUUUUUUCAAGAUGAGCUAGGUUCUUUGGGUCCAGACUAAUUAAAUAUUCACGUAUCUCCGCCCAUUUUGUCCUUUCAUUGCUUGUUAAAGCUGGCAGUCCUGGUCCAUCUGGUUCACUAUCGCAUCUUCUCUGGAUGAACGUAAGUUGCCUGGAAAGCUCUGGAGGAGUCAGCAUGUUGCCUUCAUGUACAGUAUCAAAUGCAAACACUCGGCCUCGACACAGGACUACUAAGUGAGAUGGGCAUUCACCUUCAGUCACAGUCUUAAAAUAGUUGCAGAGGGAGUCUCUGGUAAUUCCAGGCACCUUGCAAGUGUUAAAGAGCAUUCGAAAUUGGCUCAUGUCCAGAACAGCAUUCCCAGAUCUCUCUAUAGGCGCUUUCUCUUCUCGUAAUAGCUCCCAGUACUUCAGGGUGUGCCAUAUAUUUACACAUGCUCUCUCUAUCUGAGUGCCUUCUUUGGGUGGCCAGCAGUGUUCAAUAUAGGGACCAGGGCCUCCCAUGUUACAGUUUAUUUGCGUUGAUAUGCGAAGAUCAAGGUAAGCCACAUUCAGCCACCAGUCCUCCAGCCAAUUCCUUCUGGUUUUUGCUCUUUCCAGUAAUUUCUGAUGCAGCUCUUUGCCAAUCCCAUUUUCAAAUCUUUUAACGAUAUCCUCGGUUCUUUGAUAUUCUUCUUGAUUUAGAAAUGGCUUCACUGAGUCGAGGUAUUUACUUAAAGAUUCAUCCAGAGGAGGUACGGGCAGCGGAGGCAGGGAAUCUUGGUACUGAAAUGUUCGCUCUUCAGAGGACUCAAGCACUUGCUUUUCCAUGUUGUAGACCUCCCCGAGCCGCUGUCGUCCGCGGCCGAUCGCUCCCCGGCUGCCCGCCCUUACCUCUGCCCCACUUCCAA
rnacentral:lncRNA from 1 species